rnacentral:lncRNA from 1 species
AUCUAUUUUCAUUUAAAACCCCAAACAGAAGGAAACAGGGAUUAAUUGUGUCUGCCCAGUAUGGCAUGAAGGUUUCAUCACCUGUGGUAACUCCAGUUGAUUGAAGGUGGUUACAUGAAGAGAUAUGUUGGAACAAAUUGUGAGACACUGUUAGGGCUCUGCUGGCAAGUGUGGUUACCUAUGAGUAAUGACUACUAUGGGUGCUGAAGGUGUGAGGGAAGGUGCAAGUGC